rnacentral:rRNA from 1 species
CCUACGGGUGGCAGCAGUCGAGAAUUUUUCUCAAUGGGGGAAACCCUGAAGGAGCGACGCCGCGUGGAGGAUGAAGGUCUUCGGGUUGUAAACUCCUGUCAUUUGGGAACUAGUACCAGAAGAGGAAGAGACGGCUAACUCUGUGCCAGCAGCCGCGGUAAUACAGAGGUCUCAAGCGUUGUUCGGAUUCAUUGGGCGUAAAGGGUGCGUAGGUGGCGCGGUAAGUCGGGUGUGAAAUUUCGGAGCUUAACUCCGAAACUGCAUUCGAUACUGCCGUGCUUGAGGACUGGAGAGGAGACUGGAAUUUACGGUGUAGCAGUGAAAUGCGUAGAUAUCGUAAGGAAGACCAGUGGCGAAGGCGGGUCUCUGGACAGUCCUGACACUGAGGCACGAAGGCCAGGGGAGCAAACGGGAUUAGAUACCCUUGUAGUC